rnacentral:lncRNA from 1 species
GCGGGAUCGUGACGUUAAGGGCGGUGCCCAGUCAGCGAGGUCUUAAGACCCUCAUUUGAGAGAUGCCUUCCCUGUACCUGGAGGAAAGAAACAUCUUUAUCUCUGAAGACACAGGGCCACAGAGAAGAGUCUGAACAAACAGGCUUUACCAAUUUCCCCCAGUUGUUACCGUUAGAUCAGACCUUUGUCCAGUCAUAUCCUUCCACAAGUUGUCCACUCAUCAACCCUAAGCAUAAAAAUGCACAAGUUUCCUUGUUUGUUUGGGUCUUCAUUUCCAAGGGCUCCUAUGUCAUGUUAAACUUUUAAAUAAAUUUGCAUGCUUUUCUCUUGUGAAUCUGGUUUUUGUUAUAAGGGCCUUAGCCAUGAACCUAAGAUGGUAAGGGUUUCUUUUCCCCUACAUGCAAUAUAAGUGGAUUUAAAUUUUAUUAAAAUAAAUAGAAAAAUACCUCCCCAGUGUAGACAUGUGUGUAUGUGUGAGGCGCCCAGGCAACUUGUGGUUCCACUUGGAGACGAGCCUCUCCUCUGUACGUCCUUCCCAAAAUAUCACCUUUGCAGUUAAGAUCAAACUUUGAUUUAUGUGGGACUAACUAACAACUGCAGUCGACAAUAGGAAAGCAGCCAGAAUGAUUCCCUGCCGACGUGGUGGAAUUAUUAGACUCCCAUUCUCACAGCAUGGUAAUUAAAGUGUUAAAAUGGAGAGGCACAGGACCAAGGAAGAACGCAUCCAGAAAUUACCCGCACCCAGUCAUUUUCAGGGCACUCAUCUAAUCCUGUCAAUGGAACUUUUUGAGAUGGCUCUAAAUUUCAGUGUGGUUUAGAAGUCCUUCAAGUAGUACGGAAUUUUUUCACUGUCUCUGUCAUCAGUGAGAUUUCUGUCAGGCAUCUCAGCUUGUAGGCCAUGUAGUCUGUCACAACUCCUCCCCCUUGUGGCUGUAGGGUGAAAGCAGCCGCAGACAAUUCCUAGAAGGAGUAGGCUGUUUAUGGACACUGAAAUUUGAAUUUCAUGUAUUUUUAAUGUGUCAUGAGAUAUUCUCUCGAUUUUUUUCCAACAAUUUAAAACUGUAAAAACUAUCCUUAGCCUGCAGGCUAUACAAAAACAGCUGUUUGCCAAUCCUUGCACUAGCUUUGUGAGGGAGGCACAGCUCGCACCCAGCACAGGACCUAGCAAAAUCGAAGAUGCUCAGUAAAUGUUUAUUGAAUGAAUUCAGUGGACAGAUGACCAGAAAAACCCCAUGAUGCCUCAGAAAUACACUCCAAAGGAACUUUUACAAUGUAGUUUUCACAUAGUUAUUUCAUUUAUAUUUGUUUUGUAACAUUUGUACUGCUUUUCGCUUAUUUACUUUUGAGACAAGGUCUCUGUCUCCCAGGCUGGAGUGCAGUGGUGCGAUCUCAGCUCACUGCAACCUCUGCUUCCCAGGUUGAAGUGAUUCUCCUGCCUCAGCCUCCUGAGUAGCUGGGAUUACAGGCAUGAGCCACCAUGCCUGGCCGGGAAUUCAUCUUAUUUUAUAAAACUGCCAAAGUUAUCAAAAAUAAACUAAAACCAGGCCGGGCACGGUGGCUCACACCUGUAAUCCCAGCACUUUGGGAGGCUGAGGCAGGCGGAUCGCUUGAGCUCAGGAGUCGGAGAUGAGCCUGGCCAACAUGGUGAAACCCUGUCUCAACUAAAAAUACAAAAAGCAGCCGGGCAUGGUGGCGCACGCCU